GGCGUAAAGAGCUUGUAGGCGGCUUGUCGCGUCUGCUGUGAAAGCCCGGGGCUUAACCCCGGGUCUGCAGUGGGUACGGGCAGGCUAGAGUGUGGUAGGGGAGACUGGAAUUCCUGGUGUAGCGGGGGAAUGCGCAGAUAUCAGGAGGAACACCGAUGGCGAAGGCAGGUCUCUGGGCCAUUACUGACGCUGAGAAGCGAAAGCGUGGGGAGCGAACAGGAUUAGAUACCCUGGUAGUCCACGCCGUAAACGUUGGGCGCUAGGUGUGGGUCCCAUUCCACGGGGUCCGUGCCGCAGCUAACGCAUUAAGCGCCCCGCCUGGGGAGUACGGCCGCAAGGCUAAAACUCAAAGGAAUUGACGGGGGCCCGCACAAGCGGCGGAGCAUGCGGAUUAAUUCGAUGCAACGCGAAGAACCUUACCAAGGCUUGACAUGUACCGGAAACCCUCGGAGACGGGGGCCCCGCAAGGCUGGUACACAGGUGGUGCAUGGUUGUCGUCAGCUCGUGUCGUGAGAUGUUGGGUUAAGUCCCGCAACGAGCGCAACCCUCGUUCUAUGUUGCCAGCGGUUCGGCCGGGGACUCAUAGGAGACUGCCGGGGUCAACUCGGAGGAAGGU
rnacentral:rRNA from 1 species